UGAUUGUUCUGUGACUGAGUGGCGGACGGGUGAGUAACGCGUGGAUAACCUGCCUCACACAGGGGGAUAACAGUUGGAAACGACUGCUAAUACCGCAUAAGCGCACAGCACCGCAUGAUACAGUGUGAAAAACUCCGGUGGUAUGAGAUGGACCCGCGUCUGAUUAGCCAGUUGGCAGGGUAACGGCCUACCAAAGCGACGAUCAGUAGCCGACCUGAGAGGUUGACCGGCCACAUUGGGACUGAGAUACGGCCCAGACUCC
rnacentral:rRNA from 1 species